AGUGAACGCUGGCGGUAGGCCUAACACAUGCAAGUCGAACGGCAGCACAGUAAGAGCUUGCUCUUACGGGUGGCGAGUGGCGGACGGGUGAGGAAUACAUCGGAAUCUACUUUUUCGUGGGGGAUAUCGUAGGGAAACUUACGCUAAUACCGCAUACGACCUACGGGUGAAAGCAGGGGAUCUUCGGACCUUGCGCGAUUGAAUGAGCCGAUGUCGGAUUAGCUAGUUGGCGGGGUAAAGGCCCACCAAGGCGACGAUCCGUAGCUGGUCUGAGAGGAGGAUAAGCCACACUGGAACUGAGACACGGUCCAGACUCCUACGGGAGGCAGCAGUGGGGAAUAUUGGACAAUGGGCGAAAGCCUGAUCCAGCCAUACCGCGUGGGUGAAGAAGGCCUUCGGGUUGUAAAGCCCUUUUGUUGGGAAAGAAAAGCAGCAGGUUAAUACCCCGCUGUUCUGACGGUACCUAAAGAAUAAGCACCGGCUAACUUCGUG
rnacentral:rRNA from 1 species